rnacentral:lncRNA from 1 species
CGGGCGUCGCGGCCGCCUGCGGCAUCAGCAUUCCGGCGGCGCGGGUCUGAGGUCGGGGAGGCUGUGAGGGAUCCUCCACGCCCAGCAGACGUGGAAGGAGCCGACGUUCUUACGGGAGAUGGACAGACGGUCAGCAUGUGAAUAGUCCCCUGCAUGCAGGUGAGGACUGGGGCAGUGCAGAGCCGCAGCAGGGAUGGGCUAUGCCGGUCGGGGCAGGUCGGGCAGGAGCCUGGCAUCUGUGGCUGACUGUUUGGCCCCUCAAGGCCUGUUUUGCUCACAGUUUUGCUUCCUCCUUGCUCUCUGUUUUCCCUGCCACCUGAACUUGGUUGCAUGCUGCUUUCUGUCCAUUGCCCUCAGCCUCUCACCUCAGUCAUGACCCUUAAGCCAGCACCUCCCCCAUGCGUCUUACUCUGAGGUUUCCCAGGAGCAUGAGCCUCCUCCAGUGUCAUUGCGGCUGCUUUGAUCUCCUUAAUGGUUUUGCUUGAGUGUGGAUUCAUAUUCAGACUCUUUUAGGGACACAAAGACCCCCAAAGUGGAUGAAUGCCCUAUGGAGGCAGAUGCCCAGUUGGGGGCCCGAGGUCUGGCUGGCCUGUCCUCCCU